rnacentral:rRNA from 1 species
ACCCGACUGCUAUCGGAUUGGGAUUUAGCCAUGUUAGUUGUGCGUUCCCUGGCUACAGGGGACGCGGCGCACGGCUCAGUAACACGUAGUCAACCUGCCCUGGAGACGUGGACAAACCCGGGAAACUGGGGCUGAUCCACGAUAGAUGACCUCAUCUGGAAGGAGAGGUCGUCCAAAAGGCGGCGCGAGUAUGCUUCGCGUCUUCCGCUCCAGGAUGGGGCUGCGGCCGAUCAGGCUGUUGGCGGGGUAAUGGCCCACCAAACCUGUAACCGGUACGGGCUUUGAGAGAAGGAGCCCGGAGAUGGACACUGAGACAAGGGUCCAGGCCCUACGGGGCGCAUCAGGCGCGAAAACUUCGCAAUGCGCGAAAGCGUGACGAGGCUAGUCCGAGUGCCUUCCGCUGAGGAGGGCUUUUCUCGGCUGUAAAUAGGCCGGGGAAUAAGGGGAGGGCAAGUCUGGUGUCAGCCGCCGCGGUAAUACCAGCUCCUCGAGUGGUCGGGACGAUUAUUGGGCCUAAAGCACCCGUAGCCUGUUCAGUAAGUCCUCUGUUAAAUCCAAUUGCUCAACAGUUGGCACGCAGAGGAUACCGCUGGACUAGGAGGCGGGAGAGGCGGACGGUACUCCGCGUGUAGGGGUAAAAUCCUUUGAUCCGCGGAAGACCACCGGUGGCGAAGGCGUCUGACUAGAACGAAUUCGACGGUGAGGGACGAAGCCCUGGGGCGCAAACGGGAUUAGAUACCCCGGUAGUCCAGGGUGUAAACGCUGCGGGCUUGGUGUUGGGGGUCCUUUGUGGGCGCCCAGUGCCGGAGAGAAGUUGUUAAGCCUGCUGCUUGGGGAGUACGUCCGCAAGGAUGAAACUUAAAGGAAUUGGCGGGGGAGCACCGCAACGGGAGGAGCGUGCGGUUCAAUUGGAUUCAACGCCGGACAACUCACCAGGAGCGACGGUUACAUGAAGGCCAGGUUGAUGACCUUGCCUGAUUUUCCGAGAGGUGGUGCAUGGCCGUCGUCAGUUCGUACCGUAAGGCGUUCUCUUAAGUGUGAUAACGAACGAGACCCUCACCACUAAUUGCGAGCUUUCUCUCCGGAGGGAGUGCACAUUAGUGGGACCGCUGGCGCUAAGUCAGAGGAAGGAGAGGUCAACGGUAGGUCCGUAUGCCCCGAAUCUCCUGGGCUACACGCGCGCUACAAAGGUUGGGACAAUGGGCUACGACAUCGAAAGGUGAAGUCAAUCCCGAAACCCAAUCGUAGUUCGGAUUGAGGGUUGUAACUCACCCUCAUGAAGCUGGAUUCCGUAGUAAUCGCUUGUCAACAUCAAGCGGUGAAUAUGCCCCUGCUCCUUGCACACACCGCCCGUCAAGCCACCCGAGUAGGGUCUCAGUAAGGAUAUCUCUAAUUGGGGUCUUCGAACUGAGAUUCUGCAAGGAGGGCU